rnacentral:rRNA from 1 species
GAUGAACGCUGGCGGCGUGCCUAAUACAUGCAAGUCGAGCGAACAGACGAGGAGCUUGCUCCUCUGACGUUAGCGGCGGACGGGUGAGUAACACGUGGAUAACCUACCUAUAAGACUGGGAUAACUUCGGGAAACCGGAGCUAAUACCGGAUAAUAUAUUGAACCGCAUGGUUCAAUAGUGAAAGACGGUUUUGCUGUCACUUAUAGAUGGAUCCGCGCCGCAUUAGCUAGUUGGUAAGGUAACGGCUUACCAAGGCAACGAUGCGUAGCCGACCUGAGAGGGUGAUCGGCCACACUGGAACUGAGACACGGUCCAGACUCCUACGGGGGGCGGCAGGAGGGAAUCGUCCGCAAUGGGCGAAAGCCUGACGGAGCAGCGCCGCGGGAGUGAUAAAGGUCUUCGGAUCGUAAAACUCUGUUAUUAGGGAAGAACAAAUGUGUAAGUAACUAUGCACGUCUUGACGGUACCUAAUCAGAAAGCCACGGCUAACUAC